rnacentral:rRNA from 1 species
CAGCCGCCGCGGGAACACGAAGGGUGCAAGCGUUAAUCGGAAUUACUGGGCGUAAAGCGUGCGUAGGCGGUUUGUUAAGUCUGUUGUGAAAUCCCCGGGCUCAACCUGGGAAUGGCAAUGGAUACUGGCAAGCUAGAGUGUGUCAGAGGAUGGUGGAAUUCCCGGUGUAGCGGUGAAAUGCGUAGAGAUCGGGAGGAACAUCAGUGGCGAAGGCGGCCAUCUGGGACAACACUGACGCUGAGGCACGAAAGCGUGGGGAGCAAACAGGAUUAGAUACCCGUGUAGUCCCUGUCUCUUAUAA